GCCCCACCAGCAACAGCACCAAGUGUAUUUCCAGGCAGCGGUGACCAGGGCUGACAACUUGCUGCAGACCAGAAGCCUCCCUGUUGAGAAAGCAAGCAGACCCACAGUGUUUUGGCAUCUCAGGGAGCCUGCUGGGAUGAUCCAGGUCCUUCAAAGGGGCUGUGGAUGAUUUUGGCUUCCUGCUAGGACUUCCAGUACCAUGCUGAACAAUGACGGGAAAAGUAGGUAUCCUUGUUGUGUCCCAGAAGUUAGAGGGUCUAGAUCUUGAAGAUUCAGUGCUUGAAUUCCUCAGACAGAAGUUCUUAUUCAGAAUGACUUGCUAUUUCAUUUCCAUGUGUAUGCUUUGAGGCCACUUGUCUAAAAAAGGAUAAUUUUUUUUGCCAUUUGUAAAACUAAAUCUUAGAUAAGAGCCAAGAAAGAUACAUGCUGGGAUUCAUACCCUAAGGGAACCACAGUGGAAGAGUGAAUGCCUGUGAAUGCCUCUGAAAGCCAAAAGUUUGAGGAAAAGUUGUGAAGAGAGGAGCAGUCUUCAUGCUCUGCCUCAUUACUGCCAGGUAGAACUAAAAGUUCAGAUUCUCCGUUUGCCCAUUUGGCCUCCAUUGAGAUCCAAGGGUUUUGGCUCCUUAAAUAAGCUAUGCCUCCAAGAAAAAUGUACCAGCUUCUCUCAGAAUUUCAAAGGGAAGUUGAUGGUCAAUAAAGCAGGACAUGAUCGUGUAGGUUCUGAACACUAAUUUGGAGAUCUUAACUAACCACAGAUAUCUAGCUUAUGAAGUAGAUGGAGAAGGUGAGAUGGAAAUUUUAAAGGACUUUCAGAGUGCAUAGAAUUCCCAUGGUCUAAGAUGAGGAAUGCUUUUCUUCUACCUUAGGAGGGGAAAAUUGAUGUUAAAAAAUCACACUCAGAAUUUCACAUGUUUACCCUGGAGCUUCGGAUAGAGGUAACAUCUUAAGGAAUUGAUUUCUCAUUUGAGUCUGAGAAAGAAUAGUCCUGGAAUUGACUUAGAUGGUGCCCAUUAUAAUUUCUUGGAGGGAUGAAGCUGCCAUCAGCAGAAAGAAGCUAGAGGUGAACUGCCAAUGCAUAGAUGGCAAGAAAACUGCUUGAGCUACCAAUUGGAGGAGAUACAUUUACUUCAUAGUGAGAGGAAGAGAAGGAGGUUGAUAACGAAACCAUCAGCCAAAAUAGAGUAAACUUUCAACAUCUGCCAAACCCGAAGAAGUCAAUGCUUGAACACCCCAACAAAACCAUGAGGAAAAGAAAUUGAUUACCAAACCAGACUCAUAAGUUAAAAAACAAAACUGAUAAUGAAAGACCAUGAGAUACAUAAGGAAAAAAGGUAAAGCUUUAUUUUCUAUUAUUUUAAAAAUCUGCAGAUUGGAGAGGGACAGCCUUCAGAGGCACAGAAAGUGUACUCUCUGGAGAACAAAGGGAAGGUUUGGCUUAAAUAGGUAGUCCUCAAUCAGGCAGUUUAUGCAAAUAAAGAAUUCAACCUUAUGUCAUUUUGAUUGGUAGAAAUAGUCCUUGAUUGCGUGGUUUCCAACUGAAAAACUAGAAAUCUCUGACAAAUGUUCUUUG
rnacentral:lncRNA from 1 species